rnacentral:rRNA from 1 species
UACGGGGGGGGCAAGCGUUGUUCGGAAUUACUGGGCGUAAAGCGCACGUAGGCGGCUUUGUAAGUUAGAGGUGAAAGCCCGGAGCUCAACUCCGGAACUGCCUUUAAGACUGCAUCGCUUGAACGUCGGAGAGGUAAGUGGAAUUCCGAGUGUAGAGGUGAAAUUCGUAGAUAUUCGGAAGAACACCAGUGGCGAAGGCGACUUACUGGACGACUGUUGACGCUGAGGAGCGAAAGUGUGGGGAGCGAACAGG